ACUAAUGUCUUGCAUCUGUUUGCUUACAGCGAGAAGAAAUUCCUUUUUUCCUGCACUGAAUCUUCCACUUCUCUCCAAACCUGCGCUCUGCUCUGCUCGUCUGUUCCUAGUGUGCCUUUCCAUAAGACUGGCUCCUGCCUGAGGCAGGCAAAGUCUGCUUUCAGCUGAAACUUCAAGAAGAAAAAUUGCAUCAUCUUUGAAAAUGUGGGUGAAGUCAUGAGUAGCUAUGAAACUGGCCUGCGCCUCACCUUCAGCCUUCCAGCUGCUUCUCCACAGACAAGGAUAUACAACACAGAACCAAAUAGCUGUGCCUGACCUCAGGCCUGUUGAUCUGUGCUUGCAACUCUGCUGAAGGAGGAAGAGUAGAGGUUUGUGAGCUCCAAAGUUGUGGCCAAGUGUGCAACCUCUGCCUGUGAUGAGACAUCCUCAUAGUUACUGGUCUGCUUUUACAUUAAUCUUGGGCUGCUGUCCUUUGCUUAGAUGGAACACCUUUGAAAUGAAAGUUUAAGUCAGUCCAAGCUAUUGCACUGGCAGCUGAACGGAUCUGGGGAGACACGUCUUUCAAAGGAGGGAGAAAGAAUUGAACAUGUUUGGACACCUGAGCCAGGCAGCAACCACCGCAGCAUCCUCCUGUCCUGUGUGGCUCAGGACCAGAUCUUGGACAGACUUAAGUUGCCAUAGCUCAAGGAAGCCCUGCGAAGCUACGAAAUUGGCGGCUGAAAGAAACUGUCUCUCUCCCCACAACAGCAAGCCAUUUGAUGCAGGACUUUUCCUGUCCCAGGAAAUAAAGAAUUGGCACGAAAGGAUCAUCUCUGACCUGGAUGGAGCUUGA
rnacentral:lncRNA from 1 species